rnacentral:tRNA from 1 species
GACUUUCUGGCUCAGUCUGUAGAGCAUGCAACUCUUAAUUUCAGGGUCAUGAGUUCAAGCCCCAUGUUGGGCA